AUUAAAUUGGUAUAAUUUAAUCAUUUUGACUGUGCAUAAUAUCCUAUACUUUUUUGUUACCAUUGUUCAACUAUGUUUUCCUUUUAUAGGGAGAGAUCUAUUACUCAACUAUUUAUUUUGCGAGUUCUAUUAGAUUAUAGCUAUAGUCCGUCCGUUGCUACGGUUUUAAAGAAGCUGCUCAAGUGGUUGGAAAGGUACAACGUGGUCAUCCUGCAUCAAUGAUGGUUUGGUGGGGCAUAUCUUAUCAAAGGGUCACAAAAUACAUUUUUGUGAAAAAGGAGUGUAAACUUCAGACAAAGUGUAUCAAGAUACAGUCUUGGAUCGUGUUAUGAAACCUCUCAGCAAUAUACUUUUUAAAAAUAUA